GUUUUGUUGGUUUUUUGGGAAAAUGACCGUUUGGUUCCUUAGAAAAUGUGGGGAAAGGAGAGGGCGGAAAAAAAAACUAAAGCUUUGAAAUUUGUAAUAUUUCAUCUAGUAAAACUGGUGUUCUAAGCAACUGUUGAGAGUAGCAUACAUGGCUAUUUUACUUGUUUAUUUUUAGAAUUCUUUGUGUGUAGCAGUUUUGAAAAAUUAAAAAAAAAAAUUGUAAAAUUGUGUCGAGUUUUUGGAAGCUCAAAAGGGAAGGACUAAGGA
rnacentral:misc_RNA from 1 species